AUUGAACGCUGGCGGCAUGCCUUACACAUGCAAGUCGAACGGUAGAGUAGCAAUACUCGAGAGUGGCGAACGGGUGAGUAACAUAUCGGAACGUGCCCAAUCGUGGGGGAUAACGUAGAGAAAUUUACGCUAAUACCGCAUACGAUCUAAGGAUGAAAGCGGGGGAUCGCAAGACCUCGCGCGAUUGGAGCGGCUGAUAUCAGAUUAGGUUGUUGGUGAGGUAAAAGCUCACCAAGCCGACGAUCUGUAGCUGGUUUGAGAGAACGACCAGCCACACUGGGACUGAGACACGGCCCAGACUCCUACGGGAGGCAGCAGU
rnacentral:rRNA from 1 species